GUGGAGUGGAAGAGCCUAGCGGGGGGAGGAGGGACGGAGGAGGGAAGAGCCGCAGAACAAUGGGCCCAGGAAUGGGGCAAGAGGAAACAGGCGGCUGACCUCAAUUCCAUCCAUUGAUGUCACCCAUGUUGACUAAAGACGAGCUGGCAACAAUUCAGAAUGGACUUGGUUCAAGUUGAUCUUCGUUGCUGACAACACAGCUGAUCUGUGAAGUACACAAGACAUGCACGUUAGAAAAGAAGGUCACUGAGAACAGGCUGAGGGUUGGUGAGUGGCCUGCCUUGCAGGGCUGGUGUACGGCCAUUUUGCAAAAGCUCAGCAGAGCAAGAGGGAGGAGCGAUCCGGCAGCCAUUACAGUAAGUGCAGUCUGAUUGGCUGAUGCCAAUGGAGAAGUUGCCUAGCAAC
rnacentral:lncRNA from 11 species